UACGAAGGGGGCUAGCGUUGUUCGGAAUUACUGGGCGUAAAGCGCACGUAGGCGGAUUGUUAAGUCGGGGGUGAAAUCCUGAGGCUCAACCUCAGAACUGCCUUCGAUACUGGCAAUCUCGAGUCCGGAAGAGGUUGGUGGAACAGCUAGUGUAGAGGUGAAAUUCGUAAAUAUUAGCUAGAACACCAGUGGCGAAGGCGGCCAACUGGUCCGGUACUGACGCUGAGGUGCGAAAGCGUGGGGAGCAAACAGG
rnacentral:rRNA from 1 species